GAAUAUCUGAACAAUGCAUCCAAAAAUAAACUGCUGACAUUCUGGACAUAACUUUGUAAGGACUGUGUUUGUGUAAAUAGUUUCUGAAAAAAGUGUGGCCAGCUCAAACGCUGAUUGUUGAGUCAUUCGAAACUGCCGUUCUAAACGAGCAUUCUAAAUGAGUGUUCUAAACACACGGGUGUGAUCGUACGCUUCAGGGACCACUGUAGAACGAUCACACCCGUGUGAUGGUACGUGUUUAAUUUCUUUAAACAAUAAAAGCUUAUUUACCAACAUUUCCUUAAAUGGAUAUAUAGCGUUUAGUAAUUCAACUCUUCAUCCCAUCAUGCUCACUCAUUAUGUUUCUACCUCUACCUGCAUGUGGUGCUUAGCAGCAACCUGGGUCUAGCCCUGUCAUCCGGACAGCUGAAGCGGCUGAGAGACAUGGUGGUGAAACAGAGUGGAGCUGGGAAACAUGGCGGCCAGAGUGACAGCUAAUGAGAGCCAGGUGGAGGAUCACUGGAGAGUGAAAAUACAGGUAAUGCAUUAUUUGCAGUACUGAAAAGGAUCUAGUUCAUAUAAAUGGAUUUGUAUCCCAUCAAAAUCUCUACACAUUUUUCUUAGAAUUCCGGUCCAAGCAGCAGAACUGUCAACCAUGGGAGCCAGAGUGACAGCUAGUGAGAGAGAGGUGGAGGGGCUGAAGAGUGAGAAAACAGCCUCUCAUGUUAUUGCAGGUUUGGAGGCCAGACUCAGUGCCAGUGAGAGCCAGGUGGAGGAGCUGAAAGGAGAGGUGGAGGAGCUGAAAGGAGAGGUGGAGGAGCUGAAAGGAGAGGUGGAGGAGCUGAAAGGAGAGGUGGAGGAGCUGCAGAAAGGUGGUGAACCAGAGAGUGGAGAUGAGUCACUAAGACUGAACUGGACUUCCACACACCCAGAAGUUACCUCUGGCCUUAUUACUUUGAUGUAGAAAGAAGCUGUUUGUUUCAUCAACACUUCAUUUGCAUUUUCUUUACAUGACAUUUUAGCACUAGAUGGCAGAUGGACAGCCAGUGAGAGCCAGGUGGAGGAGCUGAAGACAGAGAACAGAGGGAAAGUAAGACAGCUACAUGUCAUUUGAUUACUUUCAUCAACAAAGACAUGGUUUGUUGAAGUCAUCAACAGUUUAUUUGUAUUGUUACAUGAUAUCCUUGACUUGGGACCAGAGUGACAGUCAGGGGAGGAGCUGAAGACAGAGAAUGCAUGAAAGACAUGGAUAUUCAUAUACUUAUAAAGGGAUUUGAAGGCUUGUUUAUGUGAACUAUUUACAACAAGUUUUUGUGUUUUAUUCAAUAUCGGUCAGAAAGUCUAUAUUUUUUAUAUUGUUGCAGUUUUGGGGGGUAGAGUGACAGCCACAGAGAGAGGUGGAGGACCUGAAAACAGUAAAUUCAGGUAAGAUGAACGCAGUCUUGCAGAACAAGACAUGUUACUAUUUUCUGUCAUUUUCUUCAUCAUUUUAUUAACGAUGUUGUCAUUGUUUAUGUAAUACAUAUUUUGUGUAUGAUGGUGAAAAUCAUUAACACUUUCCUGUGUUCACAGAGACACCAAAGGUGGCAUUCUCUGCUGCUUUAGGUAGUACAGUGGGACCCUUCUGAUCUACACCAAUGUCAUCACUAACAUCAGCCAGGCCUACUGACCUCACCCUGAUCUCAACCAAUAUCAUCACUAACAUCAGCCAGGCCUACUGACCUCACCCUGAUCUCAACCAAUGUCAUCACUAACAUCAGCCAGGCCUACUGACCUCACCCUUAUCUCAACCAAUGUCAUCACUAACAUCAGCCAGGCCUACUGACCUCACCCUGAUCUCAACCAAUGUCAUCACUACGAGGACAAGGCUGAGAUCACUCUGUCAUGCUGAUGAAUUCGAAUAACAGACUGGAAGCUUCAAAAGGAG
rnacentral:lncRNA from 1 species